AAUGUUUGACGCCGUUGACUUUUUUAACACAUGUUUGACCGUUCGUCUUAUUCAAAAAAAUUAUGAAAUAAUUAAUUUUUUUCUAUCAUUUGAUUCAUUGUUAAAUAAACUUUUAUGCGCACAUAUAAUUUUAUAUAUUUCAUAAAGGUUUUUAAAUAAGACGAACGAUCAAACGUGUGUCAAAAAGUCAACGGCAUCAAACAUU
rnacentral:pre_miRNA from 1 species